UCGACAUGGCUGAGGACGGCGACGCUUUUGAUUACCCAAUGAAAAGGUGAAAGACGCUAUUGGAGAGAAACACUCAGCAAAUCCCGACCUGGAGUACUUCACUCGCAGCCAAACAGGAAUAAUGGGAGUAAAUGAUACAAAACCUGACGUGGAAUACGAGUGCUAUCGUUGGAAGGGAAGAAAACUAUUCCCCCUCAAAUGUGUAUGGGCGAUCUUUGCCUCAUAUGGAUUUUAAACAUCCUCGGUACGACUUCAAAGAACAAAGGAGUGUCCUCCAGUGCCCAAGUCAAUAUUUAUCGUUCAGCCAACAUCAUUAAAAC